CACAUCAGAUUUGUGGGUUGUGCUGCUGCAUAAGGUUGGAGGUGUAAUUUUCCCUCCCCGCCGCUAGGAGGCGAGUAUGCCUUGAGAUGACUUUCUGUUAGUCAACAUUUCCUGUUGUGGAAGCCAUUACUCACGAGGCAACCGCUACUCACGAGGCAACCGCCAAAUUAGCUGAAAGAUCCUGGAUCUGAGAUCUGUGAAAUACGGCCGUGGGAAGCUGCGUCAGCUGGACGAGCUAUCUCACCACGAGCUCCGAUUGGUUUUUGACCAGGACUGGAUCAUUUGAGAUCUGAACCCUGUGGGUUCAGUGGCGAGCCAAUCCCGAGAGAGUGACUGUCGACGGACCCGAGUGCGGUGUGGCCAGCCGUGGGAUCCAUCUUCAGCGAACCUCAGGACUAUUACUACCUUCCUUGAUACAGAUAAGACUAACACUUUAAAAAUCUACCCGGGUAGUGUUAGAACCAAUGGACAGAAACACACACACACACACAAGGAACUCUAAUUUCUCUUUCUAAAGAGAAGUGGACUGAGCAACGGGAGCGGAAGCUCUUUAAUUGAAACUCUUUGGAGAAUUUCCUUAAAGAGGAUGUUGUUUUGAUUUUAUUUUUGGGCCCUUUAAUGUGCGUUUGUGCACUGUUGGAAGCCGGCUUUAGACAGGCAGGGUUUGUAAACUUUACAACUUUCAAUACAGUUUCUACUCAAAUCACA